rnacentral:rRNA from 1 species
UACGAAGGGGGCUAGCGUUGCUCGGAAUGACUGGGCGUAAAGGGCGCGUAGGCGGCUUGCACCGUCAGAUGUGAAAUCCUGGGCUCAACCUGGGGGCUGCGUUUGAUACGUGCGGACUUGAGUGCGGAAGAGGGUCGUGGAAUUCCCAGUGUAGAGGUGAAAUUCGUAGAUAUUGGGAAGAACACCGGUGGCGAAGGCGGCGACCUGGUCCGAUACUGACGCUGAGGCGCGAAAGCGUGGGGAGCAAACAGG